rnacentral:rRNA from 1 species
AUUGAACGCUGGCGGCAGGCCUAACACAUGCAAGUCGGACGGUAGCACAGAGGAGCUUGCUCCUCGGGUGACGAGUGGCGGACGGGUGAGUAAUGUCUGGGGAUCUGCCCGAUAGAGGGGGAUAACCACUGGAAACGGUGGCUAAUACCGCAUAACGUCGCAAGACCAAAGAGGGGGACCUUCGGGCCUCUCACUAUCGGAUGAACCCAGAUGGGAUUAGCUAGUAGGCGGGGUAAUGGCCCACCUAGGCGACGAUCCCUAGCUGGUCUGAGAGGAUGACCGACCACACUGGAACUGAGACACGGUCCAGACUCCUACGGGAGGCAGCAGUGGGGAAUAUUGCACAAUGGGCGCAAGCCUGAUGCAGCUAUGCCGCGUGUAUGAAGAAGGCCUUCGGGUUGUAAAGUACUUUCAGCGGGGAGGAAGGCGGUGAGGUUAAUAACCUCACCGAUUGACGUUACCCGCAGAAGAAGCACCGGCUAACUCCGUGCCAGCCGCCGCAGUAA